rnacentral:rRNA from 1 species
GGGUUGUGAGGUUAAGCGACUAAGCGUACACGGUGGAUGCCCUGGCAGUCAGAGGCGAUGAAGGACGUGCUAAUCUGCGAUAAGCGUCGGUAAGGUGAUAUGAACCGUUAUAACCGGCGAUUUCCGAAUGGGGAAACCCAGUGUGAUUCGUCACACUAUCAUUAACUGAAUCCAUAGGUUAAUGAGGCGAACCGGGGGAACUGAAACAUCUAAGUACCCCGAGGAAAAGAAAUCAACCGAGAUUCCCCCAGUAGCGGCGAGCGAACGGGGAGCAGCCCAGAGCCUGAAUCAGUGUGUGUGUUAGUGGAAGCGUCUGGAAAGGCGCGCGAUACAGGGUGACAGCCCCGUACACAAAAAUGCACAUACUGUGAGCUCGAUGAGUAGGGCGGGACACGUGGUAUCCUGUCUGAAUAUGGGGGGACCAUCCUCCAAGGCUAAAUACUCCUGACUGACCGAUAGUGAACCAGUACCGUGAGGGAAAGGCGAAAAGAACCCCGGCGAGGGGAGUGAAAAAGAACCUGAAACCGUGUACGUACAAGCAGUGGGAGCCUCUUUUAUGGGGUGACUGCGUACCUUUUGUAUAAUGGGUCAGCGACUUAUAUUCUGUAGCAAGGUUAACCGAAUAGGGGAGCCGAAGGGAAACCGAGUCUUAACCGGGCGUUAAGUUGCAGGGUAUAGACCCGAAACCCGGUGAUCUAGCCAUGGGCAGGUUGAAGGUUGGGUAACACUAACUGGAGGACCGAACCGACUAAUGUUGAAAAAUUAGCGGAUGACUUGUGGCUGGGGGUGAAAGGCCAAUCAAACCGGGAGAUAGCUGGUUCUCCCCGAAAGCUAUUUAGGUAGCGCCUCGUGAAUUCAUCUCCGGGGGUAGAGCACUGUUUCGGCAAGGGGGUCAUCCCGACUUACCAACCCGAUGCAAACUGCGAAUACCGGAGAAUGUUAUCACGGGAGACACACGGCGGGUGCUAACGUCCGUCGUGAAGAGGGAAACAACCCAGACCGCCAGCUAAGGUCCCAAAGUCAUGGUUAAGUGGGAAACGAUGUGGGAAGGCCCAGACAGCCAGGAUGUUGGCUUAGAAGCAGCCAUCAUUUAAAGAAAGCGUAAUAGCUCACUGGUCGAGUCGGCCUGCGCGGAAGAUGUAACGGGGCUAAACCAUGCACCGAAGCUGCGGCAGCGACACUGUGUGUUGUUGGGUAGGGGAGCGUUCUGUAAGCCUGUGAAGGUGUACUGUAAGGUAUGCUGGAGGUAUCAGAAGUGCGAAUGCUGACAUAAGUAACGAUAAAGCGGGUGAAAAGCCCGCUCGCCGGAAGACCAAGGGUUCCUGUCCAACGUUAAUCGGGGCAGGGUGAGUCGACCCCUAAGGCGAGGCCGAAAGGCGUAGUCGAUGGGAAACAGGUUAAUAUUCCUGUACUUGGUGUUACUGCGAAGGGGGGACGGAGAAGGCUAUGUUGGCCGGGCGACGGUUGUCCCGGUUUAAGCGUGUAGGCUGGUUUUCCAGGCAAAUCCGGAAAAUCAAGGCUGAGGCGUGAUGACGAGGCACUACGGUGCUGAAGCAACAAAUGCCCUGCUUCCAGGAAAAGCCUCUAAGCAUCAGGUAACAUCAAAUCGUACCCCAAACCGACACAGGUGGUCAGGUAGAGAAUACCAAGGCGCUUGAGAGAACUCGGGUGAAGGAACUAGGCAAAAUGGUGCCGUAACUUCGGGAGAAGGCACGCUGAUAUGUAGGUGAAGUCCCUCGCGGAUGGAGCUGAAAUCAGUCGAAGAUACCAGCUGGCUGCAACUGUUUAUUAAAAACACAGCACUGUGCAAACACGAAAGUGGACGUAUACGGUGUGACGCCUGCCCGGUGCCGGAAGGUUAAUUGAUGGGGUCAGCGCAAGCGAAGCUCUUGAUCGAAGCCCCGGUAAACGGCGGCCGUAACUAUAACGGUCCUAAGGUAGCGAAAUUCCUUGUCGGGUAAGUUCCGACCUGCACGAAUGGCGUAAUGAUGGCCAGGCUGUCUCCACCCGAGACUCAGUGAAAUUGAACUCGCUGUGAAGAUGCAGUGUACCCGCGGCAAGACGGAAAGACCCCGUGAACCUUUACUAUAGCUUGACACUGAACAUUGAGCCUUGAUGUGUAGGAUAGGUGGGAGGCUUUGAAGUGUGGACGCCAGUCUGCAUGGAGCCGACCUUGAAAUACCACCCUUUAAUGUUUGAUGUUCUAACGUGGACCCGUGAUCCGGGUUGCGGACAGUGUCUGGUGGGUAGUUUGACUGGGGCGGUCUCCUCCUAAAGAGUAACGGAGGAGCACGAAGGUUGGCUAAUCCUGGUCGGACAUCAGGAGGUUAGUGCAAUGGCAUAAGCCAGCUUGACUGCGAGCGUGACGGCGCGAGCAGGUGCGAAAGCAGGUCAUAGUGAUCCGGUGGUUCUGAAUGGAAGGGCCAUCGCUCAACGGAUAAAAGGUACUCCGGGGAUAACAGGCUGAUACCGCCCAAGAGUUCAUAUCGACGGCGGUGUUUGGCACCUCGAUGUCGGCUCAUCACAUCCUGGGGCUGAAGUAGGUCCCAAGGGUAUGGCUGUUCGCCAUUUAAAGUGGUACGCGAGCUGGGUUUAGAACGUCGUGAGACAGUUCGGUCCCUAUCUGCCGUGGGCGCUGGAGAACUGAGGGGGGCUGCUCCUAGUACGAGAGGACCGGAGUGGACGCAUCACUGGUGUUCGGGUUGUCAUGCCAAUGGCACUGCCCGGUAGCUAAAUGCGGAAGAGAUAAGUGCUGAAAGCAUCUAAGCACGAAACUUGCCCCGAGAUGAGUUCUCCCUGACCCUUUAAGGGUCCUGAAGGAACGUUGAAGACGACGACGUUGAUAGGCCGGGUGUGUAAGCGCAGCGAUGCGUUGAGCUAACCGGUACUAAUGAACCGUGAGGCUUAACCUUACAACGCCGAAGGUGUUU